rnacentral:rRNA from 1 species
UACGAAGGGGGCUAGCGUUGCUCGGAAUCACUGGGCGUAAAGGGCGCGUAGGCGGCCAUUCAAGUCAGAGGUGAAAGCCCAAGGCUCAACCUUGGAAUUGCCUUUGAUACUGUUUGGCUUGAGACCGGAAGAGGUAAGUGGAACUGCGAGUGUAGAGGUGAAAUUCGUAGAUAUUCGCAAGAACACCAGUGGCGAAGGCGGCUUACUGGUCCGGUUCUGACGCUGAGGCGCGAAAGCGUGGGGAGCAAACAGG